GCCCCCCCGUGUCCGCAAGGAUCCAGCCCCUGCAAGGAUCCAGCCCCCCGUGCCCGCAAGGAUCCAGCCCCCACAUCUGUAAGGAUCCAGCCCCUGCAAGGAUCCGGCCCCCCACAUCUGUAAGGAUCCAGCCCCCCCGUGCUCGCAAGGAUCCAGCCCCUGCAAGGAUCCAGCCCCCACAUCUGUAAGGAUCCAGCCCCCCGCAGCAGCAAGGAUGCAACCCCCCACACCUGCAAGGAUCCAGCCCCCGUGUCCAUAAGGAUCCAGCCCCCCACAUCUGUAAGGAUCCAGCCCCUGCGCCCGCAAGGAUCCAGACCCCACAUCUGUAAGGAUCCACGCCCGUGCCUGCAAGGAUCCAGCCCCUGCAAGGAUCCAGCCCCCGCAUCUGUAAGGAUCCAGCCCCCCACAUCUGUAAGGAUCCAGCCCCCGUGCCUGCAAGGAUCCAGCCCCUGCAAGGAUCCAGCCCCCGCAUCUGUAAGGAUCCAGCCCCCCACAUCUGUAAGGAUCCAGCCCCCGUGCCUGCAAGGAUCCAGCCCCUGCAAGGAUCCAGCCCCUGCAAGGAUCCAGCCCCUGCAUCUGUAAGGAUCCAGCCCCCCACGCCCGCAAGGAUCCAGCCCCCCCCAUCUGCAAGGAUCCAGCCCCCGCGCCUGCAAGGAUCCAGCCCCCCACAUCUGUAAGGAUCCAGCCCCCCACAUCUGUAAGGAUCCAGCCCCCGCGCCCACAAGGAUCCAGCCCCCACAUCUGUAAGGAUCCAGCCCCUGUGCCUGCAAGGAUCCAGACCCCACGUCUGUAAGGAUCCACCCCCCCGUGUCCACUGCAUCACUUGCCCAGUGCAAUGCGAAAAGCCUUGAAAUGGAGAAGGAGCAGGGACAAGAAGUGGUGAGACACGGGGAAACUGAGGCACAGCCCGGGGAGGAGUUUCCUGCUAUAACUUGGUAAGAGUCUACGUAUAGCUAGUAAAGGAGCUCACAUUUCUGCUCUGCCAGCCUGGCGAGCCCUUCACACAUGUGAGGUUCUUAUAGCAGCACUUGUAAGGUAUCUUCCAGCCACCACUCAGCACUAACAAACCACAGUGUAUAAAUUACAAAGGGGAAAACAAAAUAACCCCAACACCGAGUUUACAACACCCAUUCAGGUUGAUUUAUGCCCCUCGCUCUCGCAAAGGCCCCAGCAAUUUCCAUUCGGCUCCAAUUUCCUCCUCUCCCACCGUCCUCCUGCCAUUCCCAGGAACAAUGUUAUCACCGGCUCAGCCCUAAUCUGCCAGGCAGACACCGGGGGAGUUUGGCAGAGCCAGCGCUGUGGUGUAAAAUACAUCUACAAAGCAGCACAAAGGGGAAGGAGAUACGGCCGGAGACCCAAGGACACAUUAACAGAGCAGUCGUGUCAGGAGAAAAGGACGAACAGGACGGGCUGGGAGAGCAGAGCGGCGAUUAUAGUCCUGCAAAAACUCAGCGUUGCACCAGGCUCGUGAAAUUCUACCCCUGCAAAGGGCGAAAUCGCAGCAGGAAGCUCAGGAUGGCGAUAAAACCUCUGGGAGAACCCGCUUACAGAUUCUGCACCAUUGGGCCACGAUGCUGCACGCACGGUGGUACCAGACACGGGAUUCCAGGUGUGUUCGUAGGAGAAGCAAAAGUUGCGCUAACAGGUAUCCCAGCGUCCUUUCUCAGAAUAAUAAUAUAUAUAUAUAGUUUAACAAACUCAUAGCAAAGAACAACCGAGUUACCGAGAAGUCCAGAGAGCCAGAAAUCCUUCCUGCAGUUACAACAACGUUACAAGAAGUCAUUUCCAAUUUGAAGCACCUUACUCAGGUGACACAGGGCAGAUCCUUCGCCUUCCCCUGAGCCUUUAUUACCCUUUUAGCGCCACAAUUAAGUUGAAAACCAAAGAGAUCCGACUCCAAGCUGCAAUCAAACAGCAGCCCCCCCUUUUCCAUGGGGUCAAUCUUCUCCGCGCUGGAGCACAGGAGAAGAAUUAGGGUCAGAAGGAGCUUUACUUCUCUGCAUCGGAGUUUGGGAGCGCGUUCAUCUUCAGGUUUGGGGGGAUAUCUGCAGGAAUCAAGAGCCGGUGAGUUCAUUUCUCCAGGCACACGCUGUUUGGCCCCACGUGGCUUCACCCAUCCAGGGUGGCACCUGCACUAACACAGACCUCACAUCACUUUUUGCAACCACAUAACCAUUUAUUAGAAGACCAAACUCAAUUAUCUUCCAACAAUGAUACUAAUGGGAGCGAGUUCUGGAUGAUGAAUGAUUUUCUUUCGCUGAGACCCCUCUCCUGGAAUCCCAGGAAUGUUCAAAACCCUCAGGACGGAGCCGCGUCACCAUCACCCCCCAGCAGACCCCCGCAGAGCCCGCUCGCUCCAAUUAAUACUCCCCAAGCCCCUGGAGACCCCCAGAGCGAGGAGCACAACACCGCGGUUCUCCCGACCCCGAACAGCCGGAGCUCUGGAUGGAAACCGGCGUCAACACCGGCGUUAUAAUGCAGGAAUUCCAAAACACCCACUGCUGCUGAAUCGCCGCCAAGCCCGAGGUGGAGCGGAGCUGUUGUUUGCGAGCCCGCGGCAUCACAAAAUGCUUCCCAACAAAGACACGGGGGAGAAAUCGAUGCCUGCUGCAGCCUUGUCUACAAUAGGGAUCUUCUUUCCCUCCAGCAAGUUCACAACCGUUUACAGUCACAAAGAACAUGGAAAACUCCUCUCCCCCUUUCACCUUUGAGGUUUGGACACUUAGAAUCGAGGCGUUUCCAUCUUGUGGACAACACCUUCGACUGAAGCGGGGAGACCACGGCGACAAAGCCUCACGUUACGUCUUGUCACCUUCGCCUUGGCGGACAAGAUGGGAAAACAGCUGGGGAAGAACAACGGGGAUGUUUCCUCGAAUCCUGGUGGAACAACGUCCCUCCUUCCCCAGGUAACUGUCCUGGAAAUGGGGUUUUGGGGGGUUAAGUCCCUUCUGUGCAGUUGCUGGCUCUCUGAGAUGAAGGCGUUUGUUGUGGAGGGGAGGACGCCGGGGUGUUUUGUUUGGAGCCGGGAUGGUCCAGAGGCCCCUAAUUCACACAGGAAGGAGGAGAUUACGCUACGCAGAGAGCCAAGGAAGCAAAGCUCAGCCCCCCCGCGCCGUAUCGCAUCACGAGGAGCCACGGCGAGGUUCAAACCGCGUCGGGACGCCGCGUUUACCGAGCGCCGCCGGCCUCAUCCUCACCCAAAGACAACCCCAUCCGCUGUUGUCAAUACAAACCAAAACGGGGUGGAAAUUGCCCUUGUUGGGAACCACACGCCGCGGCUCUGAGCUCCUCCAUGGCCGCUCGCGCUUUGGCUUUUAUAGGGAUUACUCCGAAAAAGCCGCUUCCCCCCGCGUCUCCGCUUUGGUUUCGCGCCGGCCGCCUGCAGCUUGGGGCCGGGGAGUCAUAAAGAGCCGUUAACAUGCCUUUCUGCUUAAGUCUCGCAAGCAAAAACAAAACCAACGCAGGAAAAGCCUCCAGCGGCGGGACGAGCAGAUGCGGCACAACUGCAGCUUCAUCUUGCAAAGCACAUCGGCCGCCGACGCGCUUUCUGUCACUGUUGUCAUAGAUCCGGGCCCAUAACGCUCAAGGUUUCCGUUACAAAUUAAACAGUCUUUUCUACUCUUAAUUCGUGAUUUCUGGGGAUGUUUUCCAGCUUCCUAAAGCCUUGAGCUUUUAAGCACAUUUAUAAUAGGGAGAAUAAUUGCUUCGGAUGCUUUCUGCUAUUGCAAACAAGAAAACCUUCUCUCCUUUGAAGAAAAAUACUCCCUUAAUUAAGUUAUUCUUGUAAAGGGCACGGGAAGUCUGAACAUUCAUUUAUUAAAGAGAUUUAGACUGAAAAAUACAACUUGCUUGAAACAAGCCCAUAAGAUACCAAUAAAACCAGGUCCCUGGAUGCCAAAUAUACAAGGCGUGUUGUCUUAGCAAAGCUUGAAUUACAGCUCUACGCAUCUCUUUUUAAAGUAAAUGAUAGGGAAGAGGAGCCAGCGGCCUGAGAGGCUCCCAGCCGCAAGCUGCAGGCCUGGAUGGACAGACAGACAGACAUGCGUGUUGGAUUAAGGACAGAACCGCUUCCUAACUCAGCUCCUUCAGCAAAACCUCCCCAAGCAAAGCGUUUGUUGAAUUGAUGAUUCAUGCGCCUGGUUGACUUUCUCUCCCACCUUCUAUAUGGCAAUAGGUACCACUGCUCUUUAUGUUCACAAAGCCGAGACUAUCACAACAUACACUGGGUGGGGAGAAGCAAACAAAAGCUGUUUGUCCGCAGCAGCGGGGGCUCUCGGCGGGACACGCGGAGCUCGCUUUUCACUACAUCAUCUCAAGAGGAAAAUAAAGCAACAAGGCAAUAAUACCGACCUAUCUUCUGCCCCACAGCUUUGCAGAUGCGUUGACGGUCAAGGUGCGGGGAGGAAGAGUUGGAUUUGACUCUAAACAGCAACGUAUUCAGCCACUCCUGCUGCUAAACCACCCGCUAUAGCGUGAGACAACAAAACAGCUUCGGAAGAUGAAUAAAAGUGUGUUUGGUACAUACUGGUAAGCGCUGGAUUAGCUAAGCGGAGCAUAAAGGCCUAAGCUGAGGGUAAUGGGAACAAAACCUCCCACCCCGAUCCCAGCCGAGGGUUUAAGAGGUGCCAACAGCUCCAUAGCAUCUCAUAUUUUAAGGGGUAAGUUUUAGGAGUAGCAAAGACUCUUUAAUGUUCCACGUUUCGAGAGGCACAGCCUGGUAACCAAACUCAUCUUGCACUCAGAGGGUGGAUCCUGCAAAGCAGAGAAGCCCAAAGAGGCCAGGACUAAAGGCCCAAAAUAGGCCAGGACUAAAGGCCACUCACCUCCCAUGUUCCCCCCAAAGCCUCAAGCCCCCACCAAGCCCUUUGUCCUCCCUUUAUACCCCAGGGAUGCUGCUGUGAAGGCUGAAGAACCGUUAACAGCUCAAAAGGAGCAGCUGUGAAUGAAGCAAUUUCCAGCUCACAAAUGGCCUGAAUUGUCUCUUUUUUCCCCCAGACUCUCUUUCUGGGGGUAAUUUCAAUAAAUAUCAGAGACCUGAGCGUGCCUGGCACCGUUCACUAUAGAACCAUGUUUACUCCAGCCUUCCCUUAUAUGGGAAAUAUAUAAUAAUAUAUAAGAAUAUAUAAUAAUAUAUAAUAAUAAAACACCCCAUAGUUUAUUCACAGAAGUUCUACAGUACAAGAUAAUUUAGGAUUCAAGAAUUCAAAGCAUUCCAUUAACAAAUAUACAUUGCUCCGGAGAUGCAAACCCUCUCGAGCCUGAACUGUACGAAGACUAAGGACAGAUGCUUAGCGUUUCUUCUACAGCUUUACGUUUUGGUCCAGUUUCCUAACAGCCUGGCAAUGACACAAAGGAAACGUGUGGAUUGUUCAACCUGCUUGGGGUAAGCGUCAUGUUUUCGCUUUUAAAUUCAUCGGCGCUUGUUGCACUGCCAGAAAAUGACCCGUUUCAGAAUGUUUUCUAUCCGACGGCCUCUAUUCCAGCUGCCUCCACCUUUCAACCCGUGUUUCCCCGGCUUCUCGUGUCAUUCUCCACGCCGAGAGGGGCACGUUCCCUUUGCUUCGCUUCUCAUCACAGAAUCAAUCCCAGAAUGGACUGGGCUGGAAAAGCCCUCAGAGACCAUCCAGUCCAACCCUUGGUCCAACUCCAGCCCGUUUACCAGAUCACGGCACUAAGCGCCAUGUCCAAUCUCAGCUUAAAACCCUCCAGGGCCGGUGAGUCCAGCACCUCCCUGGGCAGCCAUUCCAAUGCCUGACCACUCUCUGUGAAGAAUUGCUUCCUAAUCUCCAGCCUAAAUUUAAGUUGAAGCCCCCUUGUCCUAUUGCGAAGUGCCUGGGAGAAGAGCCCAAUCCCCCCUGGCUCCGACUUCCCUUCAGGUGGUUCUAGAGAGUGCUGAGCUCACCUCUAAGCCUCUUGUCCAGCCUAACCAAGCCCAGCUCCCUCAGCCUCUCCCCAUGGGUCUUGUGUUCAGUCCCUUCCCCAGUCUUGUUGCUCUUCUCUGGACCCGCUCCAGCACUUCAAUCUCUUUCCUGACCGGAGGGGCCCAGAACUGACCACAACACUCCAGGUGUGGCCUCCCCAAUGCAGAGCACAGGGGAAGCAUCACUGCCCUUGUCCUGCCGACUACGCCGUUUGGAUCCAGGACAGGACACCAUUGGCCUUCUUGGCCACACUGGUGGCUCCUGUUGAGCUUCCUGGCCAUUAGUCCCCCCAGGUCCCUUCCAGCCACUCUGUGCCCAGCCCGGAGCGCUGCAGGGGGUGUUGUGGCCACAGUGCAGGACCCGGCAUCGCUCCCCUGGGUUUGUUCACGAAUAAAACCCAAACCCCAGGUUAACUCCAAGCCCGCCGGCCUGCGUGGGGAAUACAAACAGGUCGCUUUUCUCAUCCUAUCGCUAUUCCUUUGGCCAGCAGACUCAGGAUUUCGGUCGCCUCUCCCUUUCCAUGUCUAUUUUCUGUUCCCCUUGGGGUUUCCCUACAGAUACGUCCCCUGGUUGAUCUCCUCCGCUCUCCCCGCAGCCCCCGCGCUCUCCGGAGGAUUCUCGGAUGGUGCCGAAGCCUCGUCGCCUCUGAACUUGGAGACGAUCCGCGCGGUUUCCUGCGUGAUCUCGAAGCGCUUGAGCUGCUGCCACCCUCCCGAGCGCUGCCGCAGCGCCGCGGUGUCGCUGUCCCCGCUCCCGCUCUCCUCCGGGACACCCAUUGCCACGGACCCACCGGUAGAGCCGCUUUCUGCGCCGGACUCGGUCACCACGUUGGUUAACGCGGUAGCCCUGGGGAUGGCCGCUUUUAUUUUCGCCUGCGGUCGGAUGUAUUUUACAGGUUGCCGGGUGAAAUGGCACCUGGGCUGGGUUGCUGGGACCGCGUCCGAAUCGCCGUCUGUCUUUUCCUGUAGCUCCUCCCGCUCAGAGCCAACGCUUGUGUUCAUGUCUGAACCAAAAAAACAGGCAGUUGUCUUAAAACACUGAGACCAGUUUACUACAGCAAACAAUUUUAGCCAACAACCUCUUUUCCUGUUAGAAAGGACAUUGAAAACCCGCAUUAAUGGUCUAAAACGCCUCCCUCUAACAGCUUAAUGAAUCGCAAGAGGUGUAAGGUAUUAAUCAGGUUUAUAUUGUUAAAGCUGCCCUUGAUGUGUUGAAGCCAGCAGAGGGAAAACCCUUCCUGGGAGCAGCGGAAAACACGCUCGUGCUUCCACGUGGUUGCUGUGCAAAGCAACGAUGCCGAGGAGAACCCAGCUCUGCAAAAAUGGCAUAAAACAACCCAAAGAGCGUCCCCGGAGCAGCGUCGCUUCAUUCACCUAAAGCAUCUGCGCUUGAUGGGAUGUGGGCUCCCUCCAGAGUCAGCUCGUCCACGGCUCCCCUGCAAGACGAGUCGUCAUGGUCGGCGGUUAAACCGCGUUCGGAGGAGAGAUUCUGUUGGGAAAAGUGGUUAUACAAGACUCUUAUUCGACAUGAAGACACUGUCAGCUCCUGCUUUGCCCCAAAUGCUCUUGGAGGAGGGAAAAGCUUGAGCUGAAAUGCCUCGGAUUGUCUGAGAUGGUGUGUAACGCUUGGGGAAGAGGGAGGGAGCUCGCAGAGGGAGAAAUACGGCUUGGGAAGUGCCAAGUGCAGACCCAAACGCCACAGAAUUCACCCCAAAACGCGGUCGUGUGCUGAGAUCGAUUCCCCCUCCCGCUGGAUGCUGAAGUCACCCGUUUCAGAGCAAAAAGGGGAAACAUCAAGCAAACCGUGAUGAGUAAAGGGUGAGUAAAGUGCCCGGGAGUCACAGGUGGGAUGGAGCCGGUGGGAGUUUGCACAAGCAUCAGGUCACCCGGGCACAGGUUGGGUUUAUUAACAGCAAAACGAGAGUUUGCCCAUGGAAACCACUUCACUUUGUCAAGGUUUGUGACACCUCCUAUGGAAUCGGGUCACGCUGCAGAACGUGUGUAAAACAGCUUUGAAAAUAGUCAAAGGAAUAGUUGUAUCUCCAAGUGCCUUCUGCGAAGGUUUAUUGAUCCUGUAGGGAGUGAGUUGUGUCUGCCCUGGUGAUUUGAUUUCAACUCUAAUCACGGUAAUUCUAAUUUCUGCUUCCUCAGUGGACUGGAGCUCUAAGGAAAGCGGCGUUGCGUGCAGCUGUGGAUACGGCCCCUGCGGACACGCGCUCUCGUGUAGAAACACCCGGCUCAAAAGGAGGUGGCAGAGAACCCCCAAACCCAGUUUAACUUUAAGUAAGUCGUUUCUUCUUUCUUGCUCAUCAAACAACUGUAAAAAGGGACAAAAACCCCCACAUAACCCAGCUCUGCCUAUUUGUGUUUUUAAAGUGAAAUAUGGUGAGGAAAGAGCUGUGAAUUUUGGGGAGAAGGCAGAACACGCAGUGACAGGGUCUGUGGCUGCUUGGGGACAGAACCGGGGGUGUCACCACAGCAUCCACUGGCUCUUAAACACAUGUCGCUGCUUCCAAAGCCAUGGAGCUGUUGGCAGAGAGAAACAGCGACAUCCCAAGCAGUUUAGCACGGAGAAACCUACAUGGGAUCUAAACCACACGGAGCAAAACCACCACCCAGCACGGUCCGAGCAGCUGCUGAGCGAUCUGCAGCUUAUCACUGGUUUCUGCUCCUCCCGCUCUACGUGCAACAGGCUCUUGCUCUUUCCCCUGGGAAUAACUCUCUGAGAUCAAACGGGUUUUGUUCUCGGUGAAAUAAGUUCUCUUUAAUUGCUCGUCCACCUUCCCAGCUCUACAGCAGGGUGAGUAAACCCAGCUCGGUGUCUGGGAGCUCUACCUCUAGGCUCGCAUUCUGGGCCAUGUCAGGGCAAUGAGGUCCUUCAUCCUUUGCCAUCGACGCUUCUUGCGAGGGAUUUUCACAGCCGAGGGACAAGGAGGACGGCAGGUCGUCCAUCCCAAACACCCUCUCGUAGUUCUGAAUGAGGAACUCCACAAUCUGGGCUUGGUAGCCGGAGUCGACAAGGCAGGACAUGGAGCCGUCGCUCCCGGAGCCCGGCCGGAGCAGAGUCGGCCCGAACACUAUGCCCAGGUUGUUUGGGGACAUCUUGUUCUCUUCGUAUUUCUCUGCCACCCUGGGGGAGGGAAAUAGGACCAUUAGGGGCUUCUGGUUCUCAAGCUGGAUGGAACGCACCAAAACCCCAUUUUCUGGGAGAGAACCCCCAUCUUUUCUGGACAACAAAGCUCUGCUCUGUGCAGCAAAACUCCCAAGGAAAACCGCAGAAUUUGGCUGGAUCUGUUCAGAGCCGGGUGCAAGGGGCUCCAUUCCUCCUAUACCUUGACCUCUCGCUUUGCGCUUUACGAAGCGUUGUCACUAAGUGCCGUCUGCUCCCUCUCAGUCGUUCAGAAUUGCUGCAGGAUCAUGUUUUACCCUCCUCAUCUGCAUCGUUUUGCUGUCAUGGAAACCCCGACGCUUUCCUCAGGAGGAGAACUCAACAGGGACCUCCAGGAACAACCAGCACGACAACCGCCGCGCUCCUCACCUGUACAAGUGCGCAAUCAGGUGCCGCAGGGUGUUGUAGUUGCUCCCGGGCAAUUUGCUCAGCAAGUCCUUCAUGCUCUGGACGGGAUCGGCGGGGACGCCCGCGCGCUCCGGCUUCUCAUCCCCGGGUUUCUGCAGCUCCUUGGCGAGCGCGAUGAGGUCGUUGUAGAGCUGGGACAGCAGCACCGGUGCCGAAAGCUGCAGCGAAAGGGGAGGGAAAGAGCACGUUGCUUCAUCUCGCUGACGCGGGGAACGCGGCGGGAUGAGGUUUGGCACCCACCUCCUUCAGAAAAUGCUUCAGGACCCCCGUGAUGUCGUGGGGGGAGUGAUCGGAGAGCUCCACCAGGCUCCGGCCGUUCUCGAACGCCUGGCACAGCUUUUCAACCCGCGCUUUGGAGCCGCUUAUCCGAUAGAUCCCCUGUGUGGUCCGGAUGGGAACGGGUCAGGAGUUUGGGAUACGGAGAGGAGAAAACCAAAGCGAGAAUAACCCACUCACCUGCACCCCGAGGGCACGGGCUUCGAUUUCCGAGGUGCAUUUCACCACGAUGAAGGGAACUUCUUCUGGGAAAUCCCGUGGCACCUGCGUGAAGUCGACGCCGAACAGGGGGACUCUGUUGGGCAGCUUCUUGUGGCCGCAGGUGAUGAGCAGGUUCUCCAGGCACUUCUUGUGGCAGGCCAGGCAGCACUGGAACAGCAGCAUUGCCCCAGUUACGGGCUGGUUGUGGUGAACCGGGAGGAUUCCUCCUGUCCCCUCAACCACCAACAUCCCACCAACCCCAAGAGGGUUUUUCCAGGUGAGCAGCUUGACUCAAACACCGAAAAACGCGCUUUUUUGUAAUGCAGAGGGGCAUAGAAAAGCCCAGAACUUUACAGACGUCGCUCCUUUGUGCGGAGGCGACGGUGCGAUGGCGUUUUCCAGCCCUCACCUCCUCGCACUCGAAGCCGCUGACCAUGAAGGUGUCGCACUCCCUGCACUUGGAUGGGCCCCGCAGUUUCCGCAGCCGGUGGGUCUGCGCCGCGCCGGAGAGCAGGACGUUCUUAAACUGCUGCUGGGAUGUACCGUUUUCUGCAGAAACAGCGUUAAAAUGCACCGAUACACGAGCACGGUUACCACCCCGUGGCUCGAAGAAGCGCGUCGCUCACCGCUUUCAAGGGUUUGCAGGGAAUCCCUCUCUUCAAAAUCAUCCGAGGAGGACACGGUGCCGGUGGAUGGAGCUUUCAGCAACCUCCUAUUAGAGUUUCCUUGAGAGGAGAGAAAAUACAAGCUAUUGUUCUCAUCCUCAUGAUGCACAAAGCGGGGCUGCGUAGUUUAUUCCGCCUUUCAGGCGUUGGGGUGAUAUUAGGGAAGAAAUUAUGCGGCUCCCACCUGGGCUGGAACCGGGAGAGUCCAGCGACCGGGAUUCGCAGCUGCCCCCGAGACUUUCGGUGUCGCUGCACAGGGAUUUGUUCACACCUGCGGGAGGUGGAGACACUUACAGACCAUCCCGAGCACCCCCCAACAAAAUCCAUCAAUAUUGUCAAUAUUUUCUCAGCAAAGCCUUAAGAAUUUGAGAACCUCCCCAUUUCGUUGGCUACGAAUCCCGAGACUCGAGAGCAAAUGGCAUCGUGUUGAUGAAAUUCAACCUACUCUGCUCGUCGUUGGCGUGGAGCUGCUUUCUGGGCCGAUCUUCUGGCGCGUUCGUGUCCUUUGCUGCAGGAGAAGCGCCGCUGGAAUGCAGCACCAUCUUCUUUCUACCACUGGGAGGGGACCUGAGAAGAGAUUGCAAAGGAUUUUGUGGCGUUUAAGGAUAACAGACGAUAUCGCAUCGCCAAGGUGCCUUAGGGACAGCUGCGACAAAGCCUCCAUUCCAGGUAGAAGCUUUUGUAACAAACACUUGGGCAAAAGCAGGAAAACAAAUUAGUUCGGUGUGAUUUCACCUCUUCUAUUUGCAGGAAAGAUCUAGAAACCAGCACCCACGUGAGAAGAGAGCGAGCCAAAUCUUCGGCAAAUGACAGAAAGAACCAAAGGGCCAUGGUACGGAAUAGCUGCUGUUCUGAAAUCAGCCACCGCAACGCUGCUGGAGACUUUAUAAGUGUGUUUUAAACCCUUUUGUUGUUCUGUUGUUGUAUAUUCCUGACCUUUCAGCUAGGAUGGAAGUUCUCUGCUCUUUCGUACCUCUGCCCCCCGGGAGCGAGGGGCUCGAACUCAAACACCUCCACGUGAACGUCUUUCUUCUGCAGGGCCUGAAUGAACUCCAGGUACUUCUCGCCCGCUUUGUACGGCUUGCAGACCUCAGACAGGUACUGGUAGCCCAGCGGAAUCUGUUCCGACUGCGUCUGCCGCUGCUUGAACAUCCUCAAAGUGACCUGAUAGGGAAAGAAAUAGAAAAUCAUCAUUGUUAAGCAAAGCCCGGGAGCUUUUUCCCCCAUUGGAUCUUCAGUGUCUUCAGUUUUUCGUUAUCUAAACUCGUUAUCUUGAUAGUUCUACUUAACACGUUGGAUAAAUGUCGCUGUGUCGUUCUCUAGGAUUUUGUCCGCUAGGCUUUUUCGCUGGAUAUGUGUCCUCAAAGCUGUUGUAAUUGAAAAAGUGAUUAUAUAUCUGAGAUUUAUUUGGUAGCAACGUCCAAAGCAGUUCCCUCAUUUCAACCGUUGGUCAGCAAUGGGGCGGUGGAAUCAUGAAGAGCCCGGAGGUCUUAGAGAGGAGAAAUUCGGGAGCUAACACGUACCCACGUCAGCACCUCGUCCCCUUGGUAAAUGAGCUUCCGGACGUGGGAGACGAUCCGCGCUCGCACCUUCUCCAGCUCCUGCCGCCGAAAGUUGGCGUCGCCGAUGCACGUCUUGUACAACGCUUCGGCCUCCUGAACCUGAACCGGAGCCAAAGAGGGAGAAAUGUCACCAGGACGGCAGGAAGAUGCCGUAAGGGGGGACACAAACCCGCCGGUGUGCUGGUUUUGUUAAAAUAAGUUUCUCUUUUAGUGAAUUUGCCUGUCAGCUAAAGCUGCGUUUUCCUGGAGAACCAGACACAUGUUUUGGUAGCCAUAGCAAUGGAAUGCGAGGUUAUUGAUAACGAUUGACGCACAUCCCACGAGAGGGGCAACAAGAAACAGGUGACCAAAAAACUGACCGACGGAGUAUAACAUCCCAUUCACAUUAAUAUUUCAUAUAAAAGUGGGAGAUCACGAGGAUCUCAUCUCUUUUCCCAAUGGCCGACACUAGGAGAGGACCUUGCAAGUUGUCCCUGUGAACUGAGGCCAAGUGACAGAGUGAAUCCAGCUCCGCUUGGCUGCAGAGUCCAGUCCAGGACUUCGGGUGCCUGCCCUGCAGCUGCCGGGACUUUCAAUAUUGCUUUUGUAUACUUUGUAUUAUUUUCUCUAUUUUUAUCAGUAGCAUUAGUAUAACAUCUUUAAUUUUCCCAACUCUCUUCUGUCUGUCUUUCUUUCCCUCCCAUAAUUAGUGGGGAGAUGGGGUUAACAAUACAUCUGCCACGGUUUAUUGUCACCCCAAAUCAAACCUUAACAGCACCAAACGUGUCACCUUGGCUUGUGCCUCCUCGCAGGAUCGACGGCGCUUCUCUAGCUGCUUGUUGGCGCUGCCGGUGUUGGCACCGGCCGCGCUCUGGUGCUCGUCCUCCGCCCUGGCGCUCAGCAGCUUGGCUUUCUCCAGCUCCUCGCAGCGCUGCGCGUACUGCAGGCGCGACUUGCGCAGGGACGCCAAGGAUUCAUUCUCGGGUAGAAAAACAAACAGGUUUGGGGUGGGAAAGAAACAGGUUGAGGUUUGAAAAGACCUUUUGGGAAGCGCGGUGAGGAAAGAGGGUUCAAAUGGAUGUGAUCGUCCCCAAACUAAAGCGGUUUCUCCUUGUUUUCAGAUGGAACCUCCAGUCCCAUCUUUGGGCACCGUGGAGAAGAGUCUGGUCCAUCCUCAUGACCCCCACCCUGAGAUAUUGAUCACAUCGAUAAGGUCCCUCUGGGUUGAACAGACACAACUCUCCCUCCUCAUCAAAAAGAUGCUCCAGGUUCUUCCUCCCCAACCUGUUCUGUUGUCUGGGGUUAUUAUUUAGUACCGCUUGUCCAUAAACAUUUAUUUUGAGUCUUUUGACCUACAACCGGCACAAAGACCAGGCCCAUCUUACCAUCCUCUUUUGCUCCUUUGUCCACUGAUCUUUGAAUUCCUUCCUCCAUUUCUCGAUUUCGUUUUUCUUGGCCGACAGAGGCUGCGGAGGAAGAAGAGUUAAGACAGGAACAGUUCCUUGUGAGGAAAAGCGUCUGGCAGAAUUGUCCAGAAAUACCUGAUAAAACUCCUUCUGCUGCAGCAACCCCACCGUCUCGCCUGCGGAACUGCCCACCUUGAUGUCGUGCUCCAGGACCAGCGUGUAGAGCGCUCGCAGGGGCAUGUUGUGCUGCAGGAACCAAGAAAAGCCAGGUGUGAUAUAACAGGUCUGUGUCGGCGCUGGCAGCAUCACCAAUGAACAUAUCAACCGCCCUGGAUAACGAAGAAGAGCGCAAUUAAAGAAACGAAGGUUGUAGCGACCCAGGAAACCAUCUCUGCACCGUUUCCCUACGCACGUGUUCCCGAUGGAGAUCUCGAUGGCAUCCAGGCUCCGGAAUAUCUCGCUGUACCGCUUCCUACUUUCAGGUGUCCUCUCUUGGUUGUCGAGACCUGGGGAUAGAGAAGAAAUCAGUUCAUGGGAUCAUCCAACCCGGAGAUCGACAGGUGGUAACGUGCACAGAAAAUGGCUCAUUCUCUGUGUGUGUCGCAAUGUUUGUUGUGCAUCCAUCUCAAUAUUACACGCGUUUAUUUAUGGGGAUGAUAUACAUUGAGAAAUGCUGUAUCUUGCGCAAUCCCCGGCGGGUAUAAAUUAUAAUGAUGCAAAAUAUAGAGCGGGUUUGUCCCCACGUGGCUCUGUGAACCCUACACACGCCUUUUACACGUGAUUAUCGAUGCCGUUCGUCUCACUUUCCGCUGUCAUUGAGUCCUGAAACUCAAAUCAACUCAGGCCGGAAGUUGCUGUAAAGAAAAAGGGGAAAGAAAAAUCCAAUUCGAAUCCGAAACUGGUUGCAAUCGGUAAAAACAAAAGAAAACCUCACUCUUCUUUGUCCUUUUGACAUUCCAGGAAACAGGAUGUGGUUGAUUGACCUAAAUCUAGAGUUUCUUCACUGUUUUUGACGGGGCGCACGUUCUUGCAGAUGUUACUCAAGUGAGAAGUCGGUUUGCGUCUUGUUUAGUUCUAGAUGCCCCUGGGCCUUGUUUUGGUCCCGAAAACAUUGAUUUUCUCUCUUUUUCUAGCCGGGUAACUAUAACCUGUACCCAGGUCAACCCGCUCAACAUUUCCCACCCGCCGGGUGACCCGAGACGUGCAAUUCAUCAAACACUUCAUCCCACUUUUUCUAUGAGAGUCGCAAAUUGUUCCUAAUCGGAGCCGUAACAAACAAAUUGGAAUCUUAACCAUCCUUAUUAAUUCAUGUGAGCUUUAAUGUCUCGUUUAGAGCAAGCGAGGGAUUGUACAACAGGAAGACGUGACUCAACCGGAGUGGCGCUGCCGAGGGGCGAAGCGAAACGUCCUUCUUCUGAAAGCAGAACCUCAGCUUCUCACGAGUCUUUUGUUCCGCAUCGCUAAGGCAAUUCCAGAAGAAACAAUCCAGUGUUGGCACUAGACCUGCAUCCCAAAGGAAACCACGAUAUGAUGAACCAGCUGUUGCGUUGAGUUUUGGAUGGACGAGACUCAUCUCAUCGGCAUCAUGGACGUUCUGGAAGGCUCCCCACUCUUCUCCAUGGAGAUGGAGCUCCUGCAAUGGUGGGUGCGCAGAGCCCGGGGGGUGUUUUAGCAGGAGAAGCUCUUGUUGUGCCGUUCAGCAGAAGCAACACUUCCCUUUGAGCCGCGGUUACUGCAAAAUGAGGUAAACGUCGCAAACCCGGCCUCGGCGGGGGCGCCGUGGCUGAAGCUCGGUAGCUGGUAGCGCCUUCCUCUUCUUUGCGCUUGUGUUUCGCAACGCAAUGUCUCCCGUUUCUGCAGAAAAGGACUUGUGCUUCUUAGCAGCGUGUGGGUCAAACCCUCUGCUUGCUGAGCCGCUCGAAGCGAACUGGGCCAAAUAAGCCUGAAAACUCCCAAAUUGUGUGAAAUCCAAGGUAUUCCUCAGCGAGACUCCGGUUACAGCUCAGGCGCUUAGAUCAGCAUCCGGCUGAGGAAUAACAGCGUAAUAAUCAUCCAAAUAUAAUAUAAUCCAGUAGAAUAUAAUCCAAAUCCCUUCACAACCGUUUUGCAAAACCAAGAGCGCAACUUCUGACCUUGGUGGAACAAAAGCUGAAUUUACAAAUCAUCUCGUUUUGAGGAGGUCGGAACAGCUACCAAGCAGCAUCACCCACAACCGAGAGGAAACACCGUGGGGGUCAGGCGUCCUGAAUUAGCUGUAUGUAUUAACGAGGGGGUUAACGAAACGCGCUGUGGGGAGGAGGAGAGUUGCCACUUAAUGGAAACUUUGCACUUCAUUAAAAGGAGGAAGUUUGCGCUCUGCAAAUCUGUCCGACGGCAAAAACCGAGCGCGGGCGCGUUGGUUUGCAAGAGAAGGAUGAGAGGCCGUAAGCGGAAAAGAGGAUCCACGGGUGCGGACCGAAGGGGAUGCGGAGCAGAACCGCUCCAAUUCCAACUGGUUACGCUCACCAUUGAGUUGCCUUUGAGAACAAGGACUUAAAGCAAGUAUUUUCCAACCCCAUAUUAUGUAGCAAGAAGCGCUGCACCCUCUGCCUCUCGAAAAAGGGGGUUUGCGCCCUUUCCUCUUACGCAAGCGCACAAAUGCAUCGAACGACUUCAUCUGUCAGAGGAAGAGACUGAACAGUCGUGUUUUCAAUGCAAACCCCGGUUAGAGGAACUUAAAAGCUAUUUUCUAACACCCAUAUUUCCUCUGUGGCGCACAGGCCUCGGGUAAAUCCUGCCCCGAAAGCUCGCAGGACAAGCAGAAAAGGUUGUUUUAAUGCCACCACGUACCACUCGCUUCUGGGUCGCCCAUGGCCGAAUCGUCAGCGUUUUGCCCCGAAAGCAGCAGAAUCCUGAAUUACCCAGAUCCCGAAUUCAUCGGUCAGACGGGAUGUGAAGAGCUUGUCCGGAGGCCCAUGUGGGUGAAGCCGACCUGCCCCAAAUAACCAGCAGAAAUUCGGCAAGUCGCCGAAUCUGCUUCCUGCAGCCGCGCUUCCGCGGGAGGAAAUCGCAUUCGUUUGGUGUGCGAUUUGCAUAACUCAGAGAUGUGGUAAUUGGUGAAGAAACGAUGGGUUUUGAGUCUCCCGGCCUCGGCGUAGCGGUGAUUUUCUACCCAGGGGGCUUCUCAUCUUCCCAAGAACCACCCGUGUUUCCAAAUGUACCGAGCGAGCCGCUGGAAAACCAGGGUGAGGGAAAAGGGGCGUUGGGUUGAAAUUGGGGCCAGAAGACGGGGAAAAAUGAUCAUUUUGGGCGGGAUGGUGGUUUCUUGCUCUCCCCGUGGGUGGCAGAGUGCAACCCCCCCUCCCUCCUUCAUCAUGGAAGGAGGAGACACGUCUCCCUCUCUCUCUGCUGUUUCAUUUGAUCCCAGAGCCCCUUGGCUGUUAAGAGAGAGAAGGGGGAGCACCGAGGCACCAAGGAGCCGCUGGGCACCCACAACCACUGUGGGGGAUGUUUGGAGGCUUCAGGGGCACCCCCAGCCAGUGUGGGGGUGCAGAGAAGCUUCUGGAACGCCCACAGUCAGAUCUGCUCAGGCUAUAAAAACAGGACUCUCGCCGAGACCCCUUGUGCGGAUCUAUCGGAGCACAAGCGAGAUGCCGCCGAGACCCCCCCGGGAUGGAGACUCCGCUUGCUUUGCCACCACGGGUGUGAGUAAAUUAACCCCCGCAGGAUUACGAGUGUAUCUACUUUCCGUGCACAUUUGCACGCGUACUUUCCGUGUUCAACAUGAGCACGUGUAUAAAUUAAUCCUUGCACAAUCGCGAGUGUAUUUUCCUCCCGUGCUUCCACGCAAGCACGUGUAACCUUCCGUGCACAUUUGCACGUGGAUUUCUCCUUGCACGAUUGCGAGUGUGCACUUUCUGUACUCAAUACGAGUGCGUGUAUCCCUUUAAAAUAACCCCACACCGUGUUCAGGCAAGUGUGGACUCCUCCUGGACUCAGGGACGGCUCCGGUGUUGUUUUGGUGAAGCCAAAAUGUCCUAUAAAUGUUAAUUAAUAAGCGCCAUGCAGAAAGGCAGAGGUGAGCGUCUUAACGAUGGAUCCGUCAUGAGGAUUUUCAUCUCCGAUGGAACUAGAGGUGGAAAAAUGAUGUUUGGAGGAUUAUUCACCUCCUGUGUCCCCCAAGAGUCUCCUGCUCACGCACAGCUCCUUAAUUAGCUUUAUUAAUCGUAAGGAAAGAGUUUCGAACGGAGAAGAAUAUGAUGGUUAAAACCAAAACAAAAUAAAGGUAAGGCUGGUAAAAGUCCACGAUUAAUAAUCAACGACAUAAA